GCUGCAUGAAUGGUAGCCCAAGUUACAAGGGGGACAUCAUUGGACCAGAGAAGCACCUUGAACAAAAUGGCUGUGGAGGAAGAUUAAUAUUCACUUCAUCAUCUACCUAUGAUUUGUAAAGGUUUUCACUAUACCUAGUUUGUAUUAAUGUUAUGUUUUAAUGGUUGUAAUUCUAUCUGUAAAUCCACGAGAAGAUGUACAGUAAGACAAACAAGAACAAGAGUGAAAUCUACACUCUCCAGGGGCUAAGGAACUCUGUAUUACUGAGGUAGAAAAGAGGCAACACAAUAAAAAUCACUGAGCAGAAA
rnacentral:lncRNA from 1 species